UACGUAGGGUGCGAGCGUUGUCCGGAAUUAUUGGGCGUAAAGGGCUCGUAGGCGGUUUGUCGCGUCGGGAGUGAAAUCAUCUGGCUUAACUGGGUGCUUGCUUUCGAUACGGGCAGACUAGAGGUAUGCAGGGGAGAACGGAAUUCCUGGUGUAGCGGUGAAAUGCGCAGAUAUCAGGAGGAACACCGGUGGCGAAGGCGGGUCUCUGGGCAGUAACUGACGCUGAGGAACGAAAGCGUGGGUAGCGAACAGG
rnacentral:rRNA from 1 species